rnacentral:lncRNA from 1 species
UCGAUUUCGGCCCACAAGGAAACCCAGCCCGCUCCUGCACAUACUCUCCGGUCUACCCUCCAGAGAUUACUUCGCGCACGAGCACCACCCGUUCUAGGAGUGACUGUCAUCACUUCAACAUUCUCUCGCCGAUGGCGUCCUGCUGGCAGACUCGACUGUUGUCCUCACCCUGCACUACUACUGGUUCUGAGCUCCUGUUUUCGAUUUCGGCCCACAAGGAAACCCAGCCCGCUCCUGCACAUACUCUCCGGUCUACCCUCCAGAGAUUACUUCGCGCACGAGCACCACCCGUUCUAGGAGUGAACUGUCAUCACUUCAACAUUCUCUCGCCGAUGGCGUCCUGCUGGCAGACUCGACUGUUGUCCUCACCCUGCACUGCUACUGGUUCUGAGCUCCUGUUUUCGAUUUCGGCCCACAAGGAAACCCAGCCCGCUCCUGCACAUACUCUCCGGUCUACCCUCCAGAGAU